rnacentral:rRNA from 1 species
AUUGAUCGCUGGCGGCAUGCCUUACACAUGCAAGUCGAACGGCAGCACGGGAGCAAUCCUGGUGGCGAGUGGCGAACGGGUGAGUAAUACAUCGGAACGUGCCCAGUAGUGGGGGAUAACUGCUCGAAAGAGCAGCUAAUACCGCAUACGACCUGAGGGUGAAAGCGGGGGAUCGCAAGACCUCGCGCUAUUGGAGCGGCCGAUGUCAGAUUAGCUAGUUGGUGGGGUAAAGGCCUACCAAGGCAACGAUCUGUAGUUGGUCUGAGAGGACGACCAGCCACACUGGGACUGAGACACGGCCCAGACUCCUACGGGAGGCAGCAGUGGGGAAUUUUGGACAAUGGGGGCAACCCUGAUCCAGCAAUGCCGCGUGCAGGAAGAAGGCCUUCGGGUUGUAAACUGCUUUUGUCAGGGAAGAAAUCCUCUGGGUUAAUACCUCGGGGGGAUGACGGUACCUGAAGAAUAAGCACCGGCUAACUACGUGCCAGCCGCCGCCGUAACAC